AGAAUCAACGCUGGCGGCGUGCCUAACACAUGCAAGUCGCACGAGAAAGGGGAGCAAUCCCUGAGUACAGUGGCGCACGGGUGAGUAACACGUGAAUAGUCUACCUCCGAGUGGGGAAUAACUGAGAGAAAUCUUAGCUAAUACCGCAUAACACUUACGAGUCAAAGCAGCAAUGCGCUUGGAGAGGAGUUCGCGGCCGAUUAGUUAGUUGGCGGGGUAAUGGCCCACCAAGACGAUGAUCGGUA
rnacentral:rRNA from 1 species